GACGAACGCUGGCGGCGUGCUUAACACAUGCAAGUCGAACGGUAAGGCCCUGCUUUUGUGGGGUGCUCGAGUGGCGAACGGGUGAGUAACACGUGAGUAACCUGCCCUUGACUUUGGUAUAACUUCAGGAAACUGGGGCUAAUACCGGAUAGGAGCUCCUGCUGCAUGGUGGGGGUUGGAAAGUUUCGGCGGUUGGGGAUGGACUCGCGGCUUAUCAGCUUGUUGGUGGGGUAGUGGCUUACCAAGGCUUUGACGGGUAGCCGGCCUGAGAGGGUGACCGGCCACAUUGGGACUGAGAUACGGCCCAGACUCCUACGGGAGGCAGCAGUGGGGAAUAUUGCACAAUGGGCGGAAGCCUGAUGCAGCAACGCCGCGUGCGGGAUGACGGCCUUCGGGUUGUAAACCGCUUUCGCCUGUGACGAAGCGUGAGUGACGGUAAUGGGUAAAGAAGCACCGGCUAACUACGUG
rnacentral:rRNA from 1 species